rnacentral:rRNA from 1 species
AAUCAACGCUGGCGGCGUGCCUCAGACAUGCAAGUCGAACGCGAAAGUCCCCUUCGGGGGACAAGUAGAGUGGCGCACGGGUGAGUAACACGUAGGUAAUCUACCUUCGGAUGGGGAAUAACAACCGGAAACGGUUGCUAAUACCGCAUAAUGCAGCGGCACCUAAUGGUGACAGUUGUUAAAGCGGGGGAUCGAAAGACCUCGCGUCUGAAGAGGAGCCUGCGGCGGAUUAGCUAGUGGUAAGGUAAUGGCUUACCAAGGCUACGAUCCGUAACCGGCCUGAGAGGGCGGUCGGUCACACUGACACUGACAUACGGGUCAGACUCCUACGGGAGCAGCAGUCGGGAAUUUUGGGCAAUGGGCGAAAGCCUGACCCAGCAACGCCGCGUGAAGGAUGAAAUCCCUCGGGAUGUAAACUUCG